AUCACUUUGGGAAUAUAUAUGCUCAAACUGGAACUGUGUACAGAAGUUUAGCAUAGUCCCUGUACAGAGAUGAUGCUGAAAUUUGUGAAGCAUUUCACAUUUUU
ensembl:snRNA U6 U6 spliceosomal RNA